CCUACGGGGGGCUGCAGUGAGGAAUAUUGGUCAAUGGACGAGAGUCUGAACCAGCCAAGUAGCGUGAAGGAUGACUGCCCUAUGGGUUGUAAACUUCUUUUAUAUGGGAAUAAAACGUUCCACGUGUGGGAUUUUGUAUGUACCAUAUGAAUAAGGAUCGGCUAACUCCGUGCCAGCAGCCGCGGUAAUACGGAGGAUCCGAGCGUUAUCCGGAUUUAUUGGGUUUAAAGGGAGCGUAGGUGGAUUGUUAAGUCAGUUGUGAAAGUUUGCGGCUCAACCGUAAAAUUGCAGUUGAAACUGACAGUCUUGAGUACAGUUGAGGUAGGCGGAAUUCGUGGUGUAGCGGUGAAAUGCUUAGAUAUCACGAAGAACUCCGAUUGCGAAGGCAGUUCACUAGACUGCAACUGACACUGAUGCUCGAAAGUGUGGGUAUCAAACAGGAUUAGAUACCCCAGUAGUC
rnacentral:rRNA from 1 species